ACGCUCGACACCUACGGGAGGCCGCAGUGGGGAAUAUUGCACAAUGGGGGAAACCCUGAUGCAGCGACGCCGCGUGGAGGAAGAAGGUCUUCGGAUUGUAAACUCCUGUUGUUGGGGAAAAAGAGGAUGGUACCCAACAAGGAAGUGACGGCUAACUACGUGUCAGCGGCCGCGGUAAUCUGAGCGGGCUGGCAAGGC
rnacentral:rRNA from 1 species